UACAGAGGUCCCGAGCGUUGUUCGGAUUCACUGGGCGUAAAGGGUGCGUAGGUGGCUGGGUAAGUUUGAUGUGAAAGCUCAGGGCUUAACCCUGAAAUGGCAUUGAAUACUAUUCGGCUGGAGGUUUGGAGGGGGGACUGGAAUUCUCGGUGUAGCAGUGAAAUGCGUAGAUAUCGAGAGGAACACCAGUGGCGAAGGCGAGUCCUGGACAACACCUGACACUGAGGCACGAAAGCUAGGGGAGCAAACAGG
rnacentral:rRNA from 1 species